UGUCACUCUUCCUCUUUCUAAACAAAAUAUUCAAAGUAAGGGGUGAGGUCUCAUGAUUUAUGUUUAAAUAUUGAAGGAAGUCGCUUUACAGUCUCUGGAAAAUUGAGGGAACCCAUCUACUUCUUUUGGGGUGGUCCUCCAGACACUCUCAAAUACAACUGAUGGGGUUUCUGUUACAUUUCCAGCCCCAGCCAAUCGCCUCAAUUGACGCUGGAGUGUUCCCACCGUUUAGGGUCUCUUCCUUGACCACCACAGAUGGUCAAUUACAUCCAUUAUGGAUCUGACAAGCCAGGUUGCUAAAGAUGUCAAUUCCAGUCGCAACUCGCGCGAAUCGCCGAAGUGAAAGCAACAAGAAGAGCUGAGUUAGAAGAGCUAAAAGGAGUACUGGGUUUAGAGGGGAGACUGGAGCAGAACUCGACAACCAAAGCGCCUUAGGGACUGCACCCGGGACCCAUCAAAGAUUCUCUGCAGGUGAGCGGCCCUCGGGC
rnacentral:lncRNA from 1 species